rnacentral:rRNA from 1 species
AGCGAACGCUGGCGGCAGGCCUAACACAUGCAAGUCGAACGAAGUCUUCGGACUUUGUGGCGGACGGGUGAGUAACUCGUGGGAACGUGCCUUUAGGUUCGGAAUAACUCAGGGAAACUUGUGCUAAUACCGAAUGUGCCCUUCGGGGGAAAGAUUUAUCGCCUUUAGAGCGGCCCGCGUCUGAUUAGCUAGUUGGUGAGGUAAAGGCUCACCAAGGCGACGAUCAGUAGCUGGUCUGAGAGGAUGAUCAGCCACAUUGGGACUGAGACACGGCCCAAACUCCUACGGGAGGCAGCAGUGGGGAAUCUUGCGCAAUGGGCGAAAGCCUGACGCAGCCAUGCCGCGUGAAUGAUGAAGGUCUUAGGAUUGUAAAAUUCUUUCACCGGGGACGAUAAUGACGGUACCCGGAGAAGAAGCCCCGGCUAACUUCGUGCCAGCCGCCGCAGUAA